rnacentral:rRNA from 1 species
GACGAACGCUGGCGGCGUGCUUUACACAUGCAAGUCGAACGAUGAACCCGGAGCUUGCUCCGGCGGAUUAGUGGCGAACGGGUGAGUAACACGUGAGUAACCUGCCCUUGACUCUGGGAUAACUGCUAGAAAUGGUAGCUAAUACCGGAUACGACCCUCGGCGGCAUCGCCAGGGGGUGGAAAGAAUUUCGGUCAAGGAUGGACUCGCGGCCUAUCAGCUAGUUGGUGAGGUAACGGCUCACCAAGGCGACGACGGGUAGCCGGCCUGAGAGGGUGACCGGCCACACUGGGACUGAGAUACGGCCCAGACUCCUACGGGAGGCAGCAGUGGGGAAUAUUGCACAAUGGGCGCAAGCCUGAUGCAGCGACGCCGCGUGAGGGAUGACGGCCUUCGGGUUGUAAACCUCUUUCAGCACCGACGAAGCGCAAGUGACGGUAGGUGCAGGAGAAGGACCGGCCAACUACGUGCCAGCCGCCGCAGUAA